rnacentral:rRNA from 1 species
CCUACGGGUGGCUGCAGUGAGGAAUAUUGGUCAAUGGACGAGAGUCUGAACCAGCCAAGUAGCGUGAAGGAUGACUGCCCUAUGGGUUGUAAACUUCUUUUAUAAAGGAAUAAAACGAGGCACGUGUGCAAUUUUGCAUGUACAUUAUGAAUAAGGAUAGGCUAACUCCGUGCCAGCAGCCGCGGUAAUACGGAGGAUCCGUGCGUUAUCCGGAUUUAAGGGGGUUAAAGGGAGAGUAGAUGGGUUGUUAAGUCAGUUGUGACAGUUUGCGGCUCAACCGUAAAAUUGCAAUUGAUACUGGCAGUCUUGAGUACAGUUGCGGUCAGCGGAAUUCGUGGUGUAGCGGU